CCCACGACACGGGCUCCCGAGUCUUCUUUCUCAGGGCCUCUUCCUCCUUAGCGGGCUCCGGCCCUGUGCCCAGCCGUGCUUUGUGCCCACUGUGUCCUCAGUCAGCUCACUGACUGAACGAGUGCAUGUGCCCGCGCUGCACCGGGCACAAGGCUAAGUCUUGGGGGCAGCAAGGUCCCUGUUUGGCAUAAAGCUGCUGCCCUACUGAGCGCAGGAAUGGCCGAGUUGUAACCAGGUGUACAAGACAGUGAUUCAACAAGUCUAUGUUACACUGUGCUCACCCCAAGGAUAGCUGCCGUCUGUCACCCGACGAUGCUGUUUCAAUACCACUGAUUAUAUUCCCUACGCUGUA